AAUUUCCCUGAUCGAUAAAACACAGGCAUUCCCAUUCUGCAGGCCAACACUGCAGUUUCCAAAAGAGGGCAAUAGCCAGAGGUCUAAGUUUAUGGGUAGAAAUUUGUGGGUUAAGCAGUCAACAGCACCCCCCACCCUAGGGCCCUGUGCUCCAAACCAUGUGCCUCUUCCAACAUCCCUUCAUCCACCAGUCCCUCUUGCUGCCCUUCUUGAGGAAGCUCUAUAGAUUCUGCAGUGGCAGCGAUGUCACAACUUCCCGUGGCCUCCCCUUGGUGCUCAAGGCUUCACAUUGGUCCAGAUAGCAGUUGUAAGAUCUUGCAGGUGUGACAGGACCUGCCCUUGUCCCCCCUGAGUGUGUCCAUACCUUUUCAAAGGGAGGAGAAAGGAGGAAAAGAGGGCAGUAGCAGGGAGGCAAGUAGAGGAGGAGGGAGAGGAGGAAGGGUUGUUUCUGAGGUCAUCUUAGGCAGCCAACACUAUGUGAAAGAAGAAUGAGAAGCUCAAAAUCAUCAUAAUAAUACCAAAAUAGGACAAUUUUCACAUUAUGUAACUAAGUGGGAAAGGCAGGAAAUGAAGAUAGCAUUGGAUGAAACUAAUGUAGUUGCAGCCCACUGUAGUCAGAGUAAUUUUUCUUUCCUCAUCUUGUGUAUGAUCUAAAAAGGAGAGGAUGUUUUAUUUUUUUUUAAUGGAUCCAGCUGCAAGCAAUUGUGAAGGAACUGAGUAGUAUCAGCAAUGAUGGUCUAAGAAAGAAGUAGAUGUUGUUUGUUUGUUUGUUUCUGGGAGGAAAUGAAAUAAAUAAGCAUUUCAGAAUUUAAGACAAUCAGACUCCACAAACACAGCAUUUGAUAGGUCACUACAACCCAAAGGACCAGUUCUCCAUGAGACAACUGAAGGGUGGUAUACAGAAAGAUUAACUUAAGCCUCAGAAUAACCAAUCACCUCCAGCAUCCCCCAAGUCAGUGGGGAAAGACACCUUUCAGAGAUUGAUUCAGAACAGGGGUUUUAUCUGUCUGCUGGGAUUCACAUCCUUGGGUAUCCUGUGUCUCUCCACUUUGGGCAUUUCCUCCACUAGGUUAUCCCUGGUGACUAUCACUCCUUCACCUUCAACUGCUGCAGAAAUUAAUCCUCGUGAUUCUCACCUAAACCUUCCAGUUUAUUAACUAACUUUGAUAAAAGAACUAAUAAUAAAAUUAGGAACUAAAACGACAGCCACCAAGACCUGAAUUUAGGAACAAAAGCAGAUCCUGGUCAAACCUGCAAGCCUGUAAAGGGCUGAAAUAUAAUGCUUGUUUAACAGAGAUCCUUGGCUGUUCAGGUAACUGGUCUCUGGUAUCUCAUUUUCUCAUACUGAAGUCUCCUUGUGAUCCACAAACCAGUCAGUUAUCUCCUACCUUGCCUGCAGUGUGUGAGCAGGUGCACCCAGCCCUUCACAUCUUGACACAGAAGGACAGAGGGAAGCAAUAGGGGGAAGGGGAGGAGUUAAUAAAUUUUUUCCAGUAGCUGUAGAACAUCACUCCUUUUACCCCUCCAACUGAAAUGAUUUCAAACUCCACGGAGUGAUUUACUGCAUUAACCCAUCCUUGAGGACUAGAGUAAUCAUGUUGUUCUUUAGUGACAUGGAAUCGUCUCCUUCACUCCAUCAUCUUGUAAUACAGGACUACCUAAAGCCAUAAACGCUAGAAAGCAUCUAAAGCUGUGAAAAAAGUCAAUGGUGCAGCACUAAGUGUCUAACUCUCAGUUACAUAAUUAAAUAUUUCUUUUCCUCCCUCAACACACCAGUCACCUCUGAACAUUUCUUGUUUAUCCCUUGACCUGCUUAUUGCAAGGCAAUGAUGUGACUUUCACAAGAAGUAAUCCCACCAAUGGCAACAGGAUCAUUCAAAUACUAGUAUACUCUGCAGAGAUGGGCUUCUUGACUUGGCCAAAUUCCCACAUGAUAGAGCUGUCACAUACUGUAGAGUCACGACUUAUUUUCUAAAGUGCAAAAGGAGACAGAGAUUGGGAGAGAAAGGAAUUAUGAUGGCAGACUAAUUUCCUAUGAAAGAAGACAAAUUAUAAAGGGUAAUGUUUCUCAGACCUUUGCAAAUGCUCUGCUUUGUAGUAGUCCGAGUGUAAACUGAUAUGAGGAAAUACAAACUAUUACAGAAAGUGGUGCUGUUUGGCCUGCCUGUUCAACGAGCUCACUUUUGUUUUUCUUCUUUGUUUAAGGGGAGAAAUUUCAUUGUUUGCCUUGGAGAUUAUCCUUUUUACUCUAAAAUUUGAAAAUUAUGAAUGUUAUCAAAAACGCUUGUCUGAGUUUUGUAAAUAUUAGACUGUUUGUCCUCAGAGUAUUUGUGACUUCUCCAAGCUAUUCUGUACAUAUGAACACUUCUUAGAAGGAAGUAUAGAAAUAUUCUGUUGAUUCUCAGCACUGCUGAUAGUUUAAAUGUACACUCAUUGGUAGAGGUAUCAUAUCGCUUUGCCCAUUUUAAUAAUAAUUCAGCUAAACAAAUAAGCCAUGUAUCAAUUGUGUAUGACCACACCGAAACUAAAUGUGGAGAAAAACCAAAGUUAUUCAAUUGCAAUAUGUUAUGGGUAACACUAGCUUUUAUAAACAUGUUCUACCCAUCAGAAAAAUCAACUUUUCUCCAAAGGAUACUUUAUUGAUAACAGUGCAUUGUCAAUAGGUAGUUCUGCUGUGUUGCUGAGAUAAACAGCAUGAAUUUUGUUGUACCAAAUUUUGUACCCAAAGAAGACAAAUAGAAUAAAAGACCAGAGAAUUUGCAGAUGAUUUAUUCUUUGUAUUGCAGGUCUGUGUGUGAAUUGUCAAUUACUGGAAUGUUGUUUUGUUUUUCUUUCAUUGACUACCUGUUGAAAAUAUUCUGAUGUUUUAAAAAUCAUUCUUAGUUUGAUAUUUGCUCAAGAUUACUUCACUGCAAGUGAACUAAGGUAGAAAGAAUUUUGUUAGAUUGUGGCUCAUUUUUCAUGUUUAUGUACACUAACACAUUGAUCCUGAGCUUACUUAUGAUUUAUAGUAUAGAGUUUUAUUAUUAGAAAUGCAUAUUUCACUUUUUUUUUUUUUUUUUUGAAUUACCUGAACCUUAAAAUCUUUCAUUUGGACAAACAUUCCUGCCAAUAAAUCAUUCACUAGAAUGAUCAGAUAAAGCGUACAUGAAAUAUGCAUUAACAUAAUUGAAAUGAGUUUAUUUAAGAGC